AGCAAACUAGAAUAUUUGGUUUGAAACGACAGUGAAAACAAAAACAGAUGCCAGAUGAACACUGCGUAUCGGCGAAAUCGUUAAAGUCUACAGAGACCGCAUGGAAAAUACCACGUCGCGAACACGAGAAAUACACUGGCCGUGGAGACUGUCGAGCGACGAGCAAUAAUAAUUAUAACAACAUUGCAGGAUCUCAUUUUACAUUUAAUAAAUUGAUCGACUUAAAAGAAGAACAUAACUUGUUUCACAAAGUGUUUCAAUAUAUUAUAUUAUUAUGCGGAACACGAAAUAUUUCUCAUGACGAAUUGUAUUAUUCUGAUUUGAAGUAUUUUAACAUAAUACGAUUUAAAUAGAGGACUGAAAAUGAGAAUGCAUUGCUCGCCAUUUAUGUUACUGCUCGCAAUAUGGAUUUAGCCACAUGACAGUAAAUUUAUAUUUGGAUUGAAAUAGAAAACUGACACAAAGUCAAAUGUGGCAUAAUCUAAUUUUCUGUUUCGCGGUUGAGAGCUGAAAUGUUAAGAUUUAACAACAUUUAAAGGUUAACCGUCAAAUGGCCGAUGAUGGUGAAGGCAGAAGGGAUGGAUUAUGGACCGUGUAGGACGGAUUAUAAUAUUUAGAAAGUUUAUGAGGAAUGGAAAAGAAAUUUCAAUAAUGCACCAGUCAAAUUAUACUGCAGACACCCGCUGAUGUUUCUUUCAUUUUUUGAAAAGCAUUGAUUUUGACACGUACCUAUAUGCACUUUUACAGCGCCACGUCCAAAUGUAUCGCAAAGGCUGAAUAAUAAUUUGAAUUAUUGUUGACGGGAAACUAAAAAACACCUAAAUGUCGACACAUAUGAGUGCGGAAGAAUCGAAAACCAGCCCCGUACUAACUCUGAACUUCUAAAAAUGAAUUCGGGCUUGAUGUACUGACUAAGUGAAUAGUGAUCGACUUUUGUAAAUACACGGAAGCUUACGUAAAUUCAUCGACAAUCCAUCUUCGUUUCAACAAACACUUGCUAAAGAAAAUAUUGAAGAAGGUACCCAAGUCCGAAACGAACAUACAACUGGAGGCACCCAGGGGCCUGUCAAUUCUUUCCUCAAAGACAUCUCUGCAUACGCAUACGGAUUAUAAUAUUAUCAUGUACGCGUCGAGAAAAAUGUGCUGUGAACGCUCCGUCGUUGACUGUGACGUCGACGACAACCCUCGGAGGGGGUUCGCCCCAAAAUCCCUUAUUUUCUGCGCGCUUUGUGGGGUAAUGGUGGACGAAACCCACACGCGCACCACACCGCAUCGGAGACCUCGACAACAUCGCUGCGGCAAGUCGAUCUCCGAGGCAGCGACCCCGUUGCAAAGUCCGCAGGGACGACGCGACGGCACACAUAAUAGUGUUAUUAUUAUAUAUAGCAGGAUGUAAAAU